rnacentral:sRNA from 1 species
CCCGGUCGGUGCUUGAUCAUUACGCUAUCACUCUAUUAGUCUCGUCUGUGGAUGUUUCUUAAAAAAACAAGAAUUGUUCUCUGCAUCACCCGUCAUGCUGCCACUGCUAGGGCUGGCAGGCUUAGGCAUUCCCUGAGUGGUUUAACCGUAUAUAGAGUAGUUAUAGGCUCGAAUAACAGCCAGCAGCUGGGCGGGGCAUGUUGAGUGAGGAUUUCAAUAUCACUGAAUCACUGAGAUCAUCUACACUUUUCCUUCCCACCAACCCCUUCCCUGAGAGAUCAAGAGGCCAAAUGAGCCAAGGGGAGGGAGCCCCUUUUUCGACAUCGUACCGUGGCAACAACCAGA